UCAGGGAAGAGGAAGGAGGCCGCGGCUUCGCGUCCCGCCUCUCGCCUGGCUGGCCGUGGGGGGCCUGGACGCAGUGGCCUCCCGAAUCUCCCAGGACCCUAAUAUCGCCCGAGGAUGCUGGGAGGAACGCUGAGCCGACCUCUCCGUUAGGCUGAAGAUUGCACAAACCAUGCUAAUGGCCAGCAUGGAUGGAGGGAGCGUGUGAGAUGUGUGGGGCAGCGUGCUGCAUCUCAGCCAACUCCAGGAGGAAGCAUGCUCAUGGCAAUACCCGGAGUCUCCACUGCAAGACCAGAGUGACGGAGGCAGCAGAGCUCCUCAGCAGGCCAGGAGUCUCCAGAGGCACUGCCGAAUGUCUAAGAAGCAACCUCAUUGUAUUCCCAAGACCUGGGAAUCCAGGUCUCGCAGAUACGAUGAUACAAUCUAUAGCCAGGACAUCUCUUCAUGUGUAGGAUAAGCAACUAUCCCAGUCUUCCCAGGAUUGAGGGGCUUCUCCAGAUGCUGCACUUCUGGUGCUAAAAAUGAGAAACUGAAAUGAAUUAGUCACCCAAGGAAUGCUGACCCUGUGCUAUAUGAUCACAUUUACUCUUUAAAGCAAUGCUUUGAGACAUGAAAGCCAGAUAGGGAAGAAUUUGCAGCCUCAUACUGAUUGGCCAGUUGAGGAGUCAACUCAUCUCUCUUAUAGAAAAAAGAAGAUUACAUUUACGGAAUACAGAAUAUACUGUGCUCUCUACUUACCAAGAGAUUUCUUUCUCUACUGACAACUUUCUGUUGACGUGGUUACUGUGCAGGUUCUGACAGUCGAUUCUUUCCACCUAGUUCACUGCUGAAGCUAUAAUGAUUUCCAUUUUGCAAAAAGAGGAUGAUUACUUAUUAUCUGUGACCAUUUCUCAAUUCCAGAACAAUUGAGCUGCAUAGUCCCUGCAAUCUUAUAAAGGCAUUUGGCCUGGAAGAUGCUCUGCAGCCAUGUGCCAAGAAUAACGGCUAUAGGGACAAUGUUUCAUUAACCCCAAAGCAGCAACCUGAACCUCUUACUGUACAAUAUCUGCUCCGUUCAGAAUUAGCUCGACUUGAGUCACAGGAUGAAGCUUACCAAAAGGAAUUUCCACGUCCAAGGAAGGAACCAAGAUCACUGAGAGGUUAUAGUAUGAAAAGUGAAGAGAAAAAACCUAUUCUAAACAUUUUAUUAAUUGUCAAUAAUUAUUUUAAAAUAUUUAAUAUAGUCUCCUACCUGGUCCACUGGCAUCAAGCUGCCAAAUUUACACGGUCACUUUGGGAAGCCAGCUGGCAGGCAAACAUGGAAAGUGCUGGCUCCUAGCGUAGUGAGAAGACCACAGAUAGAUGGUAAUUUUCUUCUUUGUUUUAUUUUUCUUUUUCUUCUCUCCCUCUUUUUCUUCCCUCUUGCCUUUCCCUCCCAUUGCCCACUUUCUUUUUUUGGCUGCCGAAGAUUUAUUGCCUUUCAGUACUUAUAGAUGAUGUUUUCAUAAGUUCUAAUGAGGUCCCAGCAGUUUUUAACAAUAACAGGACAUUACUGUUCCUAAGAUAUAUUAUGUGUUUUCCCUCAUCUUUCUCCCUUGAAUGAAAUGCUUAGAAGUAGGCUAACCCCCAAUUCCCUUCCCUUUACUAUGAUAAAUGGCUCCAUUACUUAAUAGGGCUAAAUACUCUGCUGUGACUUUUAUACUGCUGAUUUGAAUAAAAUCUUACGAAAAGCUUUUCUCGUGU
rnacentral:lncRNA from 1 species